UUUUAUAUAGUUUAAAAAAAACAUUAUAUUUUCACUGUAAAAUUAAAUAUUUAUUAUUUUAUAAAUA
rnacentral:tRNA from 1 species